UACGGGGGGGGCAAGCGUUGUUCGGAAUUACUGGGCGUAAAGGGUUUGUAGGUGGCCGGCUAAGUCAGACGUGAAAUCCCUCAGCUUAACUGGGGAACUGCGUCUGAAACUGAUCGGCUCGAGUGCAGGAGAGGAACGCGGAAUUCCAGGUGUAGCGGUGAAAUGCGUAGAUAUCUGGAGGAACACCGGUGGCGAAGGCGGCAUCCUGGACCAAUUCUGACGCUGAGGAGCGAAAGCCAGGGGAGCAAACGGG
rnacentral:rRNA from 1 species